GCAUAUCAAUAAGCGGAGGAAAAGAAACUAACAAGGAUUCCCCUAGUAACGGCGAGUGAAGCGGGAAGAGCUCAAAUUUGAAAUCUGGUAGCCUUCGGUUGCCCGAGUUGUAAUCUAGAGAAGUGUUUUCCGCGUUGGCCCAUGUACAAGUCCCUUGGAACAGGGCGUCAUAGAGGGUGAGAAUCCCGUCCUUGACAUGGACCCCCAAUGCUUUGUGAUACACUUUCAACGAGUCGAGUUGUUUGGGAAUGCAGCUCAAAAUGGGUGGUGAAUUCCAUCUAAAGCUAAAUAUUGGCGAGAGACCGAUAGCGAACAAGUACCGUGAGGGAAAGAUGAAAAGCACUUUGGAAAGAGAGUUAAACAGUACGUGAAAUUGUUGAAAGGGAAACGAUUGAAGUCAGUCAUGCUCUUUGGAUUAAGCCGUUCUGCGGUGUAUUUCAUUGAGCGGGGUCAACAUCAGUUUUGAUCGCUGGAAAAGGGCAGGAGGAAGGUAGCACUCUCGGGUGAACUUAUAGCCUCUUGUCGUAUACAGUGAUUGGGACUGAGGAACGCAGCAUGCCUUUUGGCCGGGAUUCGUCCACGUACAUGCUUAGGAUGUUGACACAAUGGCUUUAAACGACCCGUCUUGAAACACGGACC
rnacentral:rRNA from 1 species